UCAUCCAUUCCAUUCUUCUUUGGUCAAACUCUUCUUUAUGUUUUUUUCUUUGGACCCAGAGCGGGAAUUGGACGAGUACAGCUACUACUCCAACAAGCGCCGCUCCGCCAACGCCCCGCCCUCCUUCCACUCGUCCCAGCACCACCUGCCCUGGGGUGGCGACUACACCCUGGGCUCCAGGGGCACGCUGCCCCUCCACGGCUCCAGGCCCCGCCUCCACAUCCCAGCCUCCACCCCCAACCCAUACCCGCUGCCCGGCCAGCCGGCCUACGCCAGCUCCACCUUUGACAGGCCGCCACGCCGCGUCCGCUCCCAGGACCAGCUGUUGGCCAUUACCGACGGCAACACCUUGUCCCGCCUCCCCAAGAACCAGCAGCAGCAGUACUACAAAGCCAUGAUGAGCACCAGCAGGAGCGUCAACGCACAGACGCUCCGCAGGUCCCAUGAGAGGCUCCUGGUGUCACCGGACCGCCUGGAGGACCGGCUGCUGACCGUGGGCCUGAUGGCGGGCGGGGCUGAGCGGGGGACGGCAGGCGGCGCCCUGCCCGCCAUGGGCCGGCUCGGCCACCACCAGAAGGCCCAGUCGCAGCAGAACAUCUGCGUCACGCCGUCCAUGGACCGACAUCACAUGAUCAAGAUGAACUCCCACCCCACGCCGGGACACGAGCACGAGCGUGGAGCCGGGAUGGGCGCGCAUGGCGGCUGGGACCACGGGGGCGGAGCAGGGUCCACGGGCCACCCCAACGCCCGGCGGAUGGCGUUCGCCAGUAAGAGGCAGAACACCAUCGAGCAGCUGCACUUCAUCCCCGGCGUGGGCGUGGCCGGUGGCCAAGGACUGCGGACUGGGAGUAAGAACGAGGUGACGGUGUGAGACGGAGAAAGAGGAGGAGGAGGAGGAGGAUGGUGAAGAAAGGGAUUAUGGGAAGGCACGGUGACAGGAACACAGAAGAGGCCUGACAGCACUGCAGUUACCAUGACGACCAGCAAGCCCCUCCCCCUUCACAACCAAACAUGGUGGAUCAUACCUUUAAGCUGACCUCAGGGUUCCCAUGGAAACGGAAAAGGAGGAAAAAGAACGGAAAAAAGGAGGGGAAAAGAACAGAAAAGGAGGGGAAAAGAGCAGAAAAGAAUGGAAAAAAUGAGGGAAAAGAAUGGAAAAGGAGGAAAAAGAACGGAAAAAGAACGGAAAAGGAGGGAAAAGGAGGGAAAAGAAUGGAAAAAAGGAGGGAAGAGAAUGGAAUAAAGGAGGGAAAAGAACGGAG
rnacentral:lncRNA from 1 species